UACGUAGGGUGCAAGCGUUGUCCGGAAUUAUUGGGCGUAAAGAGCUCGUAGGUGGCCUGUCGCGUCGGCUGUGAAAACUCGGGGCUCAACUCCGAGCUUGCAGUCGAUACGGGCAGGCUAGAGUUCGGCAGGGGAGACUGGAAUUCCUGGUGUAGCGGUGAAAUGCGCAGAUAUCAGGAGGAACACCGGUGGCGAAGGCGGGUCUCUGGGCCAAAACUGACGCUGAGGAGCGAAAGCGUGGGGAGCGAACAGG
rnacentral:rRNA from 1 species